rnacentral:rRNA from 1 species
UACGUAGGCAGCGAGCGUUGUUCGGAGUUACUGGGCGUAAAGGGUGUGUAGGCGGUUGUUUAAGUUUGGUGUGAAAUCUCCCCGGCUCAACUGGGAGGGUGCGCCCGAAUACUGAAGUGGACUUCGAGUGCGGGAGAGGAGAGUGGAAUUCCUGGUGUAGCGGUGAAAUGCGUAGAUAUCAGGAGGAACACCGGUGGUGUAGACGGCUCUCUGGACCGUAACUGACGCUGAGACACGAAAGCGUGGGUAGCAAACAGG